UGUAAUGCACUCCACAGUUGUCAGCAUAAUUAAUUAAAUGUGCAGUGAUUAAAGUGGUUCUUGUUGUGAAUAAUUACAACAUACAAUUAAUAUUCUUCACACAUAUAAAAUUAUGAAUUCAUCAGACGACACUACGUAGCUGCAGUAUGCGGAUAUACGCGUCAGGUACACACGAGGCUGCUAAACUAUUGGAUGAUCUGAUGCUGUAAUUACAGAGGUCAGUGGAAAUCACUUGUUUUACAAAUUUAUAACCAGACUAUGGACUUAAAGUGAGUCAGUCAGUCAAAAUAUAUUUUAAUCUUGAGUAAUAAACCCACACACAAACUUUCACAGUCAUGAUAUUAAGAAACACCUUGGAAAUGACCUUUGCCCCUUUAUAUAAUAAAACAUUAUCAUGUAAAUAGGACUCCAUAAAUAAAUAUACAUAAAUUAUUACUUAUUAUAGAAUAAAAUAGUUAAUGUAUUUAAUAACAGAAUGGCAGUGAACAACGUGUGUAGUAAAUAGUAUUAGUAACGUGUCGGACAGCUUCACAUUAUUAAUAUAAUUUAUAAGAACAGUCCUCUCCGUGGCCACGAGCUUGUCACAUUUAAAAAUACUCCAGCUUCACCCAACUUUAAAGUCAAGGUCAAAGAUGUUCCACGCACAUUACGAAAUAACAUUAGUCUCUAAUGAACAGAACAGACGAAGAAAAAAGGUAAGUUUAAAUGACUUGUUCCUUCUUUUCUGUAAAGAGGAAUGUACGGAUCCUCCUCGGUGCGAAAAAAACAUGUCAAUAUAGAAAUAUAAAUAAACAAUCUGUUACAAAGU